rnacentral:rRNA from 1 species
AUGGUGGAGCUGUUGGCCACCAUGGCAAUCGAGCCAUUGGUGUCCAAGCUGAUGGACAAGGCAUCCAGCUACCUCCUGGACCAGUACAAUGUAAUGGAGGGAAUGGAGGAGCAGCACAAGAUUCUCAAACGCAAGCUUCCGGCCAUCUUCGACGUCAUCGCCGAUGCCGAGGAGCAGGCCACGGCACACAGAAAAGGUGCCAAAGCCUGGCUCCAGGAGCUCAAGACAGUGGCCUAUGAGGCCAAUGAAGUCUUCGACGAAUUCAAGUACGAAGCACUCCGCCGUCAAGCCAAGAAGAAGGGGCACUUCAGAAAGCUUGGCUUCGAUGUAAUUAAGCUCUUCCCUACUCACAACCGUAUUGUGUUCCGUUACAAAAUGGCCCGCAAGCUUUGCCAGAUUCUGCAGGCCAUUGAGGUCCUCAUAGCAGAGAUGCAGGUCUUUGGGUUCAAGUACCAACUCCAGCCGCCAGUCUCCAAACUAUGGAGGCAGACAGAUUAUGUUAUCUUAGACCCACAAGAAAUUGCCAGCACAUCAAGAUACGAAGAUAAGAAGAAUAUUGUUGGUAAACUACUUGGUGAAGCUGGCAAUUCAGAUCUUGCAGUUAUUCCCAUCGUAGGAAUGGGGGGCCUUGGCAAGACCACAUUAGCACAACUCAUAUACAAUGAACUUGCAAUUCAAGAACAUUUCCAGUUACCGAUUUGGGUCUGUGUCUCUGAUACUUUUGAUGUGAACUCGGUGGCCAAGAGUAUAGUUGAAGCAUCUCCCAAGAAAAAUGGUGAUACAAGCAAACCACCACUUGAUAGGCUUCAAAAAUUGGUCAGUGGACAGAGGUAUCUUCUUGUAUUGGAUGAUGUCUGGAACAGAGAUGUCCAGAAGUGGGAAAGCUUGAAGGUCUGUCUUCAGCAUGGUGGCAUGGGUAGUGCAGUGUUGACAACAACUCGUGAUGAACACGUUGCUGAAAUUAUGGGUGCAAAUAGAGCCUACAAUCUCGAUGUUUUGGGUGAUAGCUUCAUAAAGGAAAUUAUUGAGGCACAAGCAUUCAGUUCAGAGGAAGAGAAGCCUACCGAGCUACUCGAGAUGGUUGGUGAGAUUGUGAAGAGAUGUCGCGGCUCUCCUUUAGCUGCAACUGCACUGGGCUCUGUACUUCGUACCAAGACCAGCGUGAAAGAAUGGAAGGACAUAGCAUCUACAAGCAGCAUUUGCACCGAGGAAACUGGAAUCUUGCCCAUACUCAAGCUUAGCUACAAUGACUUGCCACCCCACAUGAAGCAAUGCUUUGCCUUUUGUGCCGUAUUUCCCAAGGAUUACAAGAUUGAUGUGGCAAAGCUGAUCCAACUAUGGAUCGCAAAUGGCUUUAUUCCAUAA